GAUGAACGCUGGCGGCGUGCUUAACACAUGCAAGUCGAACGGGAAUUAUUUUAUUGAAACUUCGGUCGAUUUAAUUUACUUCUAGUGGCGGACGGGUGAGUAACGCGUGGGUAACCUGCCUUAUACAGGGGGAUAACAGUCAGAAAUGGCUGCUAAUACCGCAUAAGCGCACAGAGCUGCAUGGCUCAGUGUGAAAAACUCCGGUGGUAUAAGAUGGACCCGCGUUGGAUUAGCUUGUUGGCAGGGUAACGGCCUACCAAGGCGACGAUCCAUAGCCGGCCUGAGAGGGUGAACGGCCACAUUGGGACUGAGACACGGCCCAGACUCCUACGGGAGGCAGCAGUGGGGAAUAUUGCACAAUGGGGGAAACCCUGAUGCAGCGACGCCGCGUGAAGGAAGAAGUAUCUCGGUAUGUAAACUUCUAUCAGCAGGGAAGAUAGUGACGGUACCUGACUAAGAAGCCCCGGCUAACUACGUG
rnacentral:rRNA from 1 species